rnacentral:rRNA from 1 species
UACGUAGGGGGCAAGCGUUGUCCGGAAUCAUUGGGCGUAAAGCGCGUGUAGGCGGUUCGAUAAGUCUGUUGUGAAAGUCCAGGGCUCAACCCUGGGAUGCCGGUGGAUACUGUCGGACUAGAGUACGGAAGAGGCGAGUGGAAUUCCCGGUGUAGCGGUGAAAUGCGCAGAUAUCGGGAGGAACACCAAUUGCGAAGGCAGCUCGCUGGGACGUCACUGACGCUGAGACGCGAAAGCGUGGGGAGCAAACAGG